ensembl:lncRNA
CUGUAACUGAAUGUAUCUACAGAUUUCUCUUACACUUUCUUAUUCUUUUUAUAUCACUCUGCUAGAGAGGAGUUGCUUCAAAGCAAGCCAGUCACUAUCCACUGCAGCUCACCAUGUUUUCUGGUCAGAAUUCUGUUUUCAUUGUUUUGUGCAAGAGAAACCAAGAGCAUCAUGACAUUUUUUGAAAUAAAAAUAAACUGGAAAAAAAAAAGCCUUGGAGAUUCCCUUUUUAGGAGAACAACCAAACUCCCACCAGCUAUUGAAUGAUCUCUUCAAAUAGCAGCAUAAUUCUAGCAUUUAAAAAUACUACUGUGAUCACAUCCUGUAUAUGUAUUUAUAAUAAUAUUCAAAUCUAUGAAUUGUGAGGGAAGCAGGCUCCAGAUGCACCAGCAAGCAGUCUUUGAAAGACUAUCUUUCUGGAUGCAAAGCACCGUGUGAGCUGGAGAUUGGUAGAAGAAGCAGGUGACUGUAUGAAGCACUCAGCUGGACUUCUGAAUUCAAUGCAUUGCAAAAUUAAACUGAGUACUGACUUGUCUUGAGCUGAUGUCUCGUCUCCAUGGUAAGUAAAGAUACAGAAGUAUGGAGCACUUGGAAAUUAAGAACAUGUACAAGUAUGUAUAUAUAGUGCUUUCAAAAUGUGAGAUAGUUUAAAGCUCCUCGAUAUACAAUAGUUUCAUAGCCUGUUUUACAGUUGCAAGCUUGAAAACCUAGCUGCUAAACUUUGUGAGGUUGUUAAAUAAAUCAUUUUUUGUACUUCAAGUAAACAUUUUUUUGUAUGUACAUGUAUUUCAUAUUUUAUCAAUUUAUGGCAGUGUUUUCUGGCAUCAGACCGGUUGUGAAGGUUUGAAGAAUUUUGAAUAGCCGUAAUUCCCAUAUAAUUAUAUUAUAGCAUUGUUUUGCAACUGAUGGGUGCCUUUGCAGCUCAAUACUAGAAGCAGUCAUGGUGGAAAUGAAUCUACUUGUGCCUGAUACAGUCCUUGAGAAUAUGAGCUAUAUUUGAAGGGACUGUGGAUAGAAACUGGCUUAUGUAUUACCAGCCUCUGAAGCACUCUGCACCAGACAGGCCACAUUAUUAUGCAUUACACCAUUAGGACUGUUAUUACGCUGCCAUAAAACUGAAUUACUGCUAAAGGUAGUACUCCUACUUUAUUGCUUUGUGUUGGGAGACGUACCCAUGUGGUGAUGGUGGUCUGGCUGAAAUAACUUCUCUAGCUAAAAGCAAGUUUAUCUUGUGGCUGAGUUAGUAGCCAGCUGGAUCAGUUUUUGCAGUUGUUAGUGCUGCUACAAAGGAAGUGAUGAGAAGGUUGGGAUUGAUAUGAUUUCACAACAACUUUAAUCCAGCGGAAAACAACUGGAGGAUUCUUAUUCUGACUCCACUGGCUAUAAAGAAGAGGCUUUCUGGAACCUCAGUUGCCCUAUGUGGUCAUUUUUACCACUACAAAGGUGAUUUUGUCAAUUUUGUCAAUGUGAAACAGUGG